rnacentral:rRNA from 1 species
GAUGAACGCUAGCGAUAGGCUUAACACAUGCAAGUCGAGGGGCAGCAUGGUCUUAGCUUGCUAAGACUGAUGGCGACCGGCGCACGGGUGCGUAACGCGUAUGCAACUUGCCUCACAGAGGGGGAUAACCCGUCGAAAGACGGACUAAUACCGCGUACACUUGGGAUAGGGCAUCCUGACCCAAGGAAAUGAAAUUCGCUGUGAGAUAGGCAUGCGUCCCAUUAGCUAGUUGGUGAGGUAACGGCUCACCAAGGCGACGAUGGGUAGGGGAACUGAGAGGUGGAACCCCCACACUGGUACUGAGACACGGACCAGACUCCUACGGGAGGCAGCAGUGAGGAAUAUUGGUCAAUGGGCGAGAGCCUGAACCAGCCAAGUCGCGUGAAGGAUGACUGUCUUAUGGAUUGUAAACUUCUUUUAUACGGGAAUAACAAGAGUCACGUGUGGCUCCCUGCAUGUACCGUAUGAAUAAGCAUCGGCUAACUCCGUG